rnacentral:misc_RNA from 1 species
GUGCUGGGAGCCAGGAAAAUGUUCUUCCCAGGAUAUGGUUAUCCCGGAAAUUCUUUUGAGCAGACAUACCGCUGCUACCCGGCAUCAUUUAUUGAUAAGCCGCAAUUGGAAUCCGGUGAUAAAAUUAUAAUGCCUCCAUCUGCUCUUGAUCGUCUUGCUUCUCUGCACAUUGAAUAUCCAAUGUUGUUUGAACUCCACAAUACCGCUGCUUCAAGAUCUUCUCACUGUGGCGUGUUGGAGUUCAUUGCUGAAGAAGGCAUGAUAUACAUGCCUUAUUGGAUGAUGCAGAAUUUGCUUUUAAC